AGACUCGUAGCUCAGUAGGCUAGAACGUUGGCUACACAAAAGCCAUCCGCUUGCUGGCGUGGGUUCGAAUCCCACCGAGACCG
rnacentral:tRNA from 1 species